GAUGAACGCUGGCGGCGUGCUUAACACAUACAAGUCGAACGAUGAAGCUGGAGCUUGCUCUGGUGGAUUAGUGGCGAACGGGUGAGUAACACGUGAGCAACCUGCCCCUGACUCUGGGAUAACAGCCGGAAACGGCUGCUAAUACCGGAUAUGCACCAUGAACGCAUGUUCUGUGGUGGGAAAGAUUUUUCGGUUGGGGAUGGGCUCGCGGCCUAUCAGCUUGUUGGUGAGGUAAUGGCUCACCAAGGCGUCGACGGGUAGCCGGCCUGAGAGGGUGACCGGCCACACUGGGACUGAGACACGGCGCAGACUCCUACGGGAGGCAGCAGUGGGGAAUAUUGCACAAUGGGCGAAAGCCUGAUGCAGCAACGCCGCGUGAGGGAUGACGGCCUUCGGGUUGUAAACCUCUUUUAGCAGGGAAGAAGCGAGAGUGACGGUACCUGCAGAAAAAGCGCCGGCUAACUACGUG
rnacentral:rRNA from 1 species